UGAUGCUCUUAACUCAUAAUAUGAGCAUCAUUCAUAGGGAUGUAUUGCACCCUGGCUCUCCGACCGCCAAUUCGGGAGAAUGACAUCAACCUUCGGGUUACAAAGUUCAUAAUACACUGUAAAAUUCAGGGUCCACAAAGCAGAACUAUCAAGGCAACUGUAACAGUGGUUAAUAUAGUUUCCCACCCAUCGCCCUUCACCCAGGAGAGGACCACAGCCCAGAGAGGGAGGUUUCCAUUUGACACUGCUCUUACCUGGUUUUCCUGUCGCCUAGAGCAGUCGCUACAUCGCCAGGGUAUGAAUGAGGCAGAAUAUACUCAUACCAUCGAAACACGAUCUUGUCCACCGGGCAUGUAACUGAGGUAGGUUUACCGGGGCUUGUUGUAGGUGAGGCUUUUGUUACACCGGCAUUUAUAUCAAGUGUAACCCCAGGACCCAAGGCUAU
ensembl:lncRNA